UACGAAGGGGGCUAGCGUUGUUCGGAAUUACUGGGCGUAAAGCGCGCGCAGGCGGCUAUCCAAGUCAGUGGUGAAAGCCCGGAGCUCAACUCCGGAACUGCCAUUGAAACUGUUUAGCUUGAGGACGAGAGAGGUGAGUGGAAUUCCCAGUGUAGAGGUGAAAUUCGUAGAUAUCGGGAGGAACAUCAGUGGCGAAGGCGGCUGCCUGGCCCAAUACUGACACUCAGGUGCGACAGCGGUGGGGAGCAAACAGG
rnacentral:rRNA from 1 species